UACGAGAGGCCCAAACGUUAUUCGGAAUUACUGGGCUUAAAGAGUUCGUAGGCGGCGCAGAAAGUAGGGUGUGAAAGCCCUCGGCUCAACCGAGGAAUUGCGCUCUAAACUACUGUGCUUGAGGGACCUAGAGGUGAGCGGAACUGAUGGUGGAGCGGUGAAAUGCGUUGAUAUCAUCAGGAACACCGGAGGCGAAGGCGGCUCACUGGAUCUCUUCUGACGCUGAGGCACGAAAGCUAGGGUAGCGAACGGG
rnacentral:rRNA from 1 species